rnacentral:lncRNA from 1 species
CGCUUUCCGAACGAAGACGAACCUGACAGGUGGGCCCCACCUGUCAGUGACCGCGGGCGCGCGCGCGUGCGUUGGUGCCGGUCUGGCUCGGUCGGACGGGGCCGGUUCGGCCCAUUUUUGCCGGGCCGGUACGGUUUUCUCUUUUUUUCUUCUUUUAGCCCUUUUCUUUUUCUGUUUUUCUUAUUUCUUUGAUAUCUUUUGAUUUUGAACUCCAAAUUGGGCCAAAAAAAUUCCAGAAAAUUUGUAAAAUCAUGUUUUAUCAUGAUACAACUUUUGGGAGUAAUUUUCCCUCAAAAUUAAAUAUCUAAAAAUACAUUUGGCCUAUAAAUGCCUUUAGGGCUAUAUAACUAUUUAAAUAAAAUAGUUUUUCAAGUCCAAAUAAUUAUCCAAAAAUUAUGAGAUAGCUUAUUUAUGCAAUAAAACCUCUUUUUUGUAUAAACCUUAUUGGUUUGAAGAUCCAAAGCUCAAAUGGGUGUAACCCUAGGGUUUAAAUUGAAAUAAAAAUCUUUUAAAGCCUUUUGAGAUUCAAAUUUGAAUUCAAACAUGCAAUUGUGGCAUGAUGCUUAUGGAUACAAUGCAUAUGAAAGGAUUUGAAAUUUUGUGAUAUUACACCCACCUUCGAGCAAGGCUUUCAGUUUGCCAUGCAGUGCGCCUUCGCGCGGGUGUGCCAGGACUAUCGACACAAGUUUCCCGAGGACUCCCCCUUCCUCCUCUUUGGAAGGCGGAAUCACACAUGCUCGGCCGUG